GUUGAUCCUUGAAUGGAAGGUGAUACUUAACGUAUCCGGCAAUGGUUUAAAUUCUAAUGUAGGUGCCUGAAUCAUCAAAAUCAGCAAGUAAGUAUAUAAUAAAAUCAAAGUUGGAGAAGAUAGCUUACUUGCUUGCUCCAACACAAACUCAUUUACGAACACCACAUCUUUGAAGGUUGCAGGGAUAUGAGACUUGGCCAAAUUUGGUGUUUUGAGAGUUAUGACUUGUCCCGUGUCAUAAAAUCCAACUUCUUUGAGAAUUUUCGUCUCAAGUGUAUGAUAGGAGCAUAUUUAUGCGACUUAGUUGGCUUGUUCUUAAGUAUUUAUGUUGUUUUUCUUUAGUUAUUUUAGUGUUUAAAGUCAUUUUCGUGCAAUUUCAGGUUUAGAGACGAAGUAUGCAAAGAAGUGCAAAAUGGAGCAUUUUAGAGCAAAAUUGAGCUAGAAUGGAGUGUAUGCUAAUGGAGCACAAGGAAUUGACGAGUUUGAAGGUCAAAGGAGCUUAAGAAAUGAAGAAAUGAAAGUGAAGAACAAAGAAUUCAGAUUUGGA
rnacentral:lncRNA from 1 species